rnacentral:rRNA from 1 species
UACGGAGGGUGCAAGCGUUGUUCGGAAUCACUGGGCGUAAAGCGCACGUCGGCGGCCGAUCGUGUCGAAUGUGAAAGCCCUCGGCUCAACCGAGGAAGUGCAUUCGAAACUGGUCGGCUUGAGUCCGGUAGAGGAGGGUGGAAUUCCGGGUGUAGAGGUGAAAUUCGUAGAUAUCCGGAGGAACACCGGUGGCGAAAGCGGCCCUCUGGGCCGGUACUGACGCUGAGGUGCGAAAGCGUGGGGAGCAAACAGG